CAUUUUUCCUAGAAUACACUCUAUUUUCAUAGAUACGACUAUAUAAAAUCAAUGCUUUCGGACCGACAGCAGUUGAACUUAAUAUUUUCAGGAGACUAGUUUUUGAUAUACCAAUUUCAAAAGUUUUUUAUUCCUGUCGUUUGUGAAUGCUUAACUUGACGUUGUUCAUUCAAUGAUAAUAAGAAUAAAGUUUCGAUAGUGACAAACACAUAACCACAAAAUAAAAUUCAUUCAAUUGGAACACAACACAUUCUAAACCAUAUAUUAUUUGUUUUUAGGAAAAUGGGCUACAAAGUAAACUUGUAUCAACAAAAAUUCCUCAAGCCACCACUCAUAUUCUACCAUUUAAACGAGAAAAAUUCAUUCAAUUGAAAUAUAUAUGUUAUAAAUACCAUCAUGGGUACAUGACAACGACCGUACAUGACAACGAGAACAAUAAAUUCAAUAUUGUGUUUCAUUGCAUUUACAAAUAUGCAUUUAGCGUACAAAAGUGAAAACAUCUUCUCUAGUUGUGUUUUAAAUCAAUUAAACUUUUACAGGGGUAGGAAUUUUUUUUAAACCUAGCAUAUAAAGAGAAGUGUUUUCAAAUCAUUCUUGUGCUGUAUUAAUAAUUGAAAAAUUCAAAUUCAAAACUGUUUAGCAUUUGUUUGGUAUAAUAAUCGUUGAAUGAUAAUAAUAAUAAUAUAAUAAUAACUGCACCGAACAGCGUUUCUUCGCCUUGGUGGUUUAUUCAAAUAUAAAUAAAUAUAACACAAUUUAUUCAAUUUUUAUCAAGCAAUUUUGAGAGAGAUUGUUAAUUUU